rnacentral:piRNA from 1 species
AGAUCUUUCAAAUCCUUAGAGACACAC